UGGGGAAUAUUGCACAAUGGGCGCAAGCCUGAUGCAGCCAUGCCGCGUGUAUGAAGAAGGCCUUCGGGUUGUAAAGUACUUUCAGCGGGGAGGAAGGGAGUAAAGUUAAUACCUUUGCCCAUUGACGUUACCCGCAGAAGAAGCACCGGCUAACUCCGUGCCAGCAGCCGCGGUAAUACGGAGGGUGCAAGCGUUAAUCGGAAUUACUGGGCGUAAAGCGCACGCAGGCGGUUUGUUAAGUCAGAUGUGAAAUCCCCGGGCUCAACCUGGGAACUGCAUCUGAUACUGGCAAGCUUGAGUCUCGUAGAGGGAGGUAGAAUUCCAGGUGUAGCGGUGAAAUGCGUAGAGAUCUGGAGGAAUACCGGUGGCGAAGGCGGCCCCCUGGACGAAGACUGACGCUCAGGUGCGAAAGCGUGGGGAGCAAACAGG
rnacentral:rRNA from 1 species